AACGAACGCUGGCGGCAUGCCUAACACAUGCAAGUCGAACGAGACCUUCGGGUCUAGUGGCGCACGGGUGCGUAACGCGUGGGAACCUGCCCUUAGGUUCGGAAUAACUCCCCGAAAGGGGUGCUAAUACCGGAUAAUCUCUUCGGACCAAAGAUUUAUCGCCUUUGGAUGGGCCCGCGUUGGAUUAGCGAGUUGGUAGGGUAAAAGCCUACCAAGGCGACGAUCCAUAGCUGGUCUGAGAGGAUGAUCAGUCACACUGGGACUGAGACACGGCCCAGACUCCUACGGGAGGCAGCAGUGGGGAAUAUUGGACAAUGGGCGAAAGCCUGAUCCAGCAAUGCCGCGUGAGUGAUGAAGGCCUUAGGGUUGUAAAGCUCUUUUACCCGGGAUGAUAAUGACAGUACCGGGAGAAUAAGCUCCGGCUAACUCCGUG
rnacentral:rRNA from 1 species